GACGUAGGUUGCGAGCGUUAUCCGGAAUUAUUGGGCGUAAAGAGUUCGUAGGCGGUUUGUUAAGUUGGAUGUUAAAGCCCAGGGCCCAACCCUGGACUGGUGUUCAAAACUGGCAAACUAGAGACAAGUAGAGGCAAGUAGAAUUCUGCAUGUAGGGGUAAUAUCCGUAGAUAUGCAGAGGAAUACCAAAAGCGAAGGCAGCUUGCUGGACUUGUUCUGACGCUCAAGAACGAAAGCGUGGGGAGCAAACGGG
rnacentral:rRNA from 1 species